CGAGGACUGAGGCUGGAUGAGCACCUGAGCCUGGCGCGGCGGCAGCGGAGGCGGGAGCGAUGCCACACUGCUGUGGUGAGAAAUCAAAUCAGAAGACAUCUUCCUCUCACAAUAAGAGUAACCUAAUUGUGGCCUUAAAAAAAAAAAGGAGGCACCGCAGGACUAUUUCCAUUUCAGCCACUGAUGUCAUCAUUUUAAAGAGGCAAAUUUUUUGUUUUAUUUUAUUUGCUGCUGGUGCACUUGGAAUAUCGCGCUCUGGGUACCAAUAAAGUUGAUCUUACCUUAUUUUGA